rnacentral:rRNA from 1 species
GACGAACGCUGGCGGCGUGCUUAACACAUGCAAGUCGAACGAAGUGGCGAACGGGUGAGUAACGCGUAAUCAACCUGCCCUUCAGAGGGGGACAACAGUUGGAAACGACUGCUAAUACCGCAUACUGAAGUAGGGGCUUGCGUCUGAUUAGCUAGUUGGAGGGGUAACGGCCCACCAAGGCGAUGAGCAGUAGCCGGUGUGAGAGGAGGAACGGCCACAGUGGGACUGAGACACGGCCCAGACGCCGACGGGAGGCAGCAGUGGGGAAGCUUCCGCAAUGGACGAAAGUCUGACGGAGCAACGCGGCGGGAGGGAUGACGGCCUUCGGGUUGUAAAGCUCUGUUAAGCGGGACGCGGUACCGGAAUAGAAAGCCACGGCUAACUACGUGCCAGCAGCCGCGGUAAUUC